GGACAUUCUGGCCAAGGCUCCUACUUCAAGGCUUGGUGAUGUCUUGUGGAAGAGCUACUUGAAUGGCUCAACUCUCUCUUGCUGGAGUCGAGCAGCGCCUCUUAAGUCCUCCCCCUCAGACCCAAGUCUCAGAGGGAUGAGAGGGAGAUUCCUGGUCUCCCCUCCAUGGACAAGGACACACCUCCUCACUAACAUUGUCCCCUCCAUUGCCCAACCUUUCACACGACUCAUGGAUCUCUUCCUACUUCUGCUAUCCCUGUCGUGGAGCUCCACCUCUAACUCCUUCUUCCCAAGUCCCCAUUACACCAGGACCGGUUCCAGAUAUUGAAGAGAUCUUAGUGAGGAAGACCACUUCUGGCAGAGUCCCCACCUUAACUCUAUGUAAGGUGUGGACACUCCCCAUGGCCCCGAGAUGAGGACCCUCCCAUGGGCCCCGAGAUGAGGACCCUUUCAUGGUUUAAAACAGCCUCUUGACCUCUAUCCUCAAAGAAUCUGAAUCCUUCUUUUUCAGAGAAACUCCAGGGUUUAACUUUUCUCUUGGAGACUAUACCCAUCAGCCAACUUGGGAUGACUGUCAACAACUCCUGAGAUGUUCUUUUCCUCACAGGCCUGGGAAUGCAUCUUCUGGGAAGCCAGGAAAUUGCUUCCUAGUGACAACAGUCACCCUUCAUAUGCCCAGAUUGGAACCCUAAUGAGGCAGCAGCCCAUGGUAACCUUGAAAGUGGAGGAAAAACCAAUGGACUUUCUGGUAGGCAUGGAAGCCAACUGAAGGAACCAAAGUGACUCCUAGCCACGAGAUGCAGCCUGGUGCUAAACAAUACCCCCAGUACAAGGAAAUGCCAUGUCAACCUCGAAAAAGAUGAUGUUACUCCAAUAUGCAGAUGACCUCAUCAGGGCAGCCAGCCAACAUGGACACGUGCACAAUGGCCACUCAAGAGCUCCUAGGACCUCUCCAAUGCCUGAGAUACUUGAUGGAUGUGCACCAAGAAGGCCCAACUCUGCAACCGGAAUGCCACAUACUUGGGAUUCCAUGAAGGGAGGAAGUCCUAGUUUAUGUCAUGUGAACAGGAAAUCUUGGGUUGGCGAGAUGGCUCAACGGCUAAGAACACUUAUUGCUCUUCUGAAGGCCCUGAGUUCAAAUCCCAGCAAUCACAUGGUGGCUCACAACCACCUAUAAUGAGAUCUGAUGCCCUCUUCUGGUGUGUCUGAACUCAGCUACAGGGUACUUAUGUUUAAUAAUAAAUAAAUCUUUGAGCCAGAGUGAGCAAGUUUGACCAGAGCGAGCGGGGCCGAGUGGAGCUAGUAAAGGUCCUAAAAUUUCGAUUCCGAACAACCACAUGAAGGCCCACAACCAUCUGUACAGCUACAGUGUACUCACAUAAAAUAAAGAAAUCUUUAAAAAAAAAAAA
rnacentral:lncRNA from 1 species